GAGUAACGCGUAUCCAACUCCUUAGUAGGCAUAGCCGCGAAAGUCGGAUUAAUACCCUAUGUUUUCCAAUGAGGACAUCUGAGCUGGAACAAGAUUCAUCGCUAAGGGAUGGGGAUGCGUCUGAUUAGGUAGUAGCGGGUAACGGCCACCUAGCCGACGAUCAGUAGGGUUCUGAGAGGAAGGUCCCCCACACUGGUACUGAGACACGGACCAGACUCCUACGGGAGGCAGCAGUGAGGAAUAUUGGUCAAUGGGCGUGAGCCUGAACCAGCCAAGUAGCCGUGCAGGAUGACGGCCCUAUGGGUUGUAAACUGCUUUUAUGCGGGGAUAAAGUGAGGGACGUGUCCCUUUUUGUAGGUACCGCAUGAAUAAGGACCGGCUAAUUCCGUGCCAGCCGCCGC
rnacentral:rRNA from 1 species